rnacentral:rRNA from 1 species
CGGAGGAUCCAAGCGUUAUCCGGAUUUAUUGGGUUUAAAGGGUGCGUAGGCGGUCCUAUAAGUCAGUGGUGAAAGACGGCAGCUUAACUGUCGCAGUGCCUUUGAUACUGUAGGACUUGAAUCUAUUUGAAGUGGGCGGAAUAAGACAAGUAGCGGUGAAAUGCAUAGAUAUGUCUUAGAACUCCGAUUGCGAAGGCAGCUCACUAAGUUAGUAUUGACGCUGAUGCACGAAGGCGUGGGGAUCAAACAGGAUU